rnacentral:rRNA from 1 species
AAACUCAAAGGAAUUUGACGGGGGCCCGCACAAGCAGUGGAGUAUGUGGUUUAAUUCGAAGCAACGCGAAGAACCUUACCAAGGCUUGACAUAAUAGUGAAUAUGGCAGAGAUGUCAUAGUCCUUCGGACACUAUUACAGGUGGUGCAUGGUUGUCGUCAGCUCGUGUCGUGAGAUGUUGGGUUAAGUCCCGCAACGAGCGCAACCCCUGUUGUUAGUUGAUAACAUUAAGAUGAUCACUCUAACGAGACUGCCGGUGAUAAAUCGGAGGAAGGUGGGGACGACGUCAAAUCAUCAU